AUGUUUAGGUACCUUUAGUUAAGCGAAAGAUCUCUGUUGCAACGGACAGACGUUACGGAUGGCAACGGUAUUUGCGUACGAUUUUCUUGGAUUAUUUCAGUUUUCUGUUUCUGUAGUUCUUUCUACAUGAAAUUUAUAAUUGUUUGCCUUUUAUGCUCUCAACAAAAACAAACAAAAUAAAGUGUAAUAAUUAGAAAAAGUCAUUAUAACCCGAAAAAAAGUAAACAAAUUUAUUAAAUGUUUUGUGUUUCAAAUCGAAAAAAAGAUAAUUAAUAAUUUAGAGAAAUAAUAAAAACAUAACUACUAAAGAAAUGGAUACAACAAAUAUCAAGAGGAUUAUAAAACCGUUAAUUUUACAAUAAAAUAAAAACAACAAAUGUGUGUGCAGUGUACAACAAUAAUUUACUAAAAGAUCGAAAGAAAAAGGUUUCAUAUUGAAACAAACACAUUAUUACAAAAGGAGUCGAGUUUUUGAAUAAUAAAAUAAUAGAAAAAGAAAACAUAGUAUAAAAUAACAAAAUAUAAUAAAAAAUAAGAAUAAAAUAUAAAUAAGAAAUAAUAUAAUAACGACAAGAAAUGAAAUGAAGAAGUGCAUUGAAAAAAUAUAAGAAAGAAAAGAAAAAACAAGUCAACAAGUUUGAGACCAGUUUAAAUAAAGUGAAACGUGCAUAAAAAAGGGGUUUAAACCCGAGUGUGUGAGUUUGUGUAUAAGAAAACAAUUUUUUUUGUUCCAUAAAAAUACAAGAAGCCAUUUUGUUAUUUUCCCAAGAAGAAAAAAAUCUAUAAAAGAAUUUAUAUGAAAAAAGAGGUUGUAUUUUGUUUAAGGAAACUCAAAUAAAAAACAUUAUGACCUAAAAAAUAGGAAAAGUAUUUUUUAAAAUAAUUGAAAAAAGCUUUCAAAAGAAAAACAUAAUGGCUGGCAAAAUCUCACUAAAAACUUAGCAGUGAGUGAAAGGUUUCUAUAAACUAAACCAUAAACUUAAUACCAUCAACUAAAAUUAAUGAAUUAAUAAAAGUUCUAUUACAAAUAUAGUGCAAUAAAUUUUGUAAAAAUAACUAAUUGAAAUAGCAACAACAACGACAACAACAGCACCUAGUGUUUAACAACAACCACCUAAAUGUUUUAACAAGUUUCAAACUAUUUAAAAGCUUUAAUUUUAUUUCAAACGGGAAUUUUAUUCAUAAAUUUUUUUUACUAUACUGUGUCUAACAUUAAACUGAACUGAAUUUCUAAAUUUCUAAACUAAUCUAAGACUAGAGCAUGAAUAAACUGCAACAUCGACUAAAAGUAUCUUUUACCUGUCGUCUCGCUGUCAUUUGUGUUUAAAUUGCAACAAACAAAACCAAACGUUUGCAAACAAUUUCAGCAACAUUAACCUCGCAUACAGACAGAGGAGUGUGUUUGGAACCAACUGCAAACAUAUUCAAAAUAUUCUCUGCUUUGCGGCAUAAACUUUCGACUACAAUAGAAUCAUUUGUCGUCAGCAUCAUCAUUAUCAGCCGCAUCAACCAGCAGCUUCAUUUCAGCAUUGUUUGACAUCAAACAAUUUUACUCAACUUUUGCAACAACAAAUCGCAGUGAUUUGUACUAUAGCAACUGCAGCAACAACUAAUAUUACUACAACAAAAUUAGCAACUUUUUAAAGCCCCGAACAACAACAUAAUGGCAGCAACUUGGAAAUACUUUUUGAUCGGUAAGUGAACGUUUUUAUCCUUUAAACAUGCAAUGAAAAAGUAGAUCUGUUGUAAGUAAAAUACACAAAAACACUUAA